CUUCUAUGACUCUCCUCAUAGGAAUAUCCUUUGAAGUUUCCUUCCUCACCUUAAACCAGCCAUGCAUCAUCAGAGAACCCUCAGCUGCUUAUCCUGAAGGACCCUGUUGACUUGGCUGGAAUAUUUACCAUAAACACAACGAUUCAACAUUCAAGGGCAGUCAACUCAGAGACUUUUUGUGAUAGUGUGGUGAAGAAAAUGAAAUGGAGUCAUAUAAAUGAGAGUUUCUAAAUGGAAAGGAAAGGCCAUUCUGAGGGAAAUGCCACCUAAAUGAUGAGAAGGAGCUAAGCCAUGGAAAGACCAGGGAAGAGGAUCCCAGGAGAAGAAAGAGCAAGCCUGUUGGAAAAAAGGAACACGAUUAACAUGGUCUCCACUCAUCCGUCUACAGAGAGUUUUAUGCAAAUAAGAUAAACAUCUUGCCUGCAGUGUCUGCACUAUGCGUACAUUAGCCAAUGCUAAAAAGAAGACAGCAGUGCCUGGCACACCUGGGGAGGGUCAGUAUCCUGGAGGAGGAACAGGAAAGAGCAAAGAAACUGGAGAUGCCCACGUGCUGGUAACCUGAACUUAGAAGUGAGUCCAGGGAGAGGCCCCUUGGGGACUCACAGAACUACUUGGAUUGGGGACAAGGAGAUGUCUUUCCAACUGAAGAGGUGAUCAGACCAAACACUAGUUAGGCCCAAUGCUCUGUGUCCCCAUGGCUGCCUGAACUUCCUCUGUUCAUUACAUUCAUCAAAGAUGGCCCUAACUCAUACUUCUUAAUGAGCCUCAAUCAUCUCAUCACAGCAAAACUGAAUGGCUUUGUCAUGAGGCCCCUUCAUACUAAGAAGGCUCAUCUUGUCUAGCUCUAUUUCAACAUUCUACUGCUGCAGUGACUGUACUACCUGACCAAAACUGCCUUACUGUUCCCCUGGACUUGACUGAACAGGCUUCUUCCUGACCAUAAGCCCCUGAUUCUCCCUUUACUUACUUACAGCAUUUACUUUAGAAAACUUGGAAUUGUAAAUUCUUUCUCUGUCCCUUUGAAAUGUAAGGCUUCUCCCAGCCUCUUGCCACUUUUACAACCCAGGAAUGUCUUUCCCAAGGACCUGGGAGCCAAUCCUUUGAAAUGUAAUCACCAAAAAAGAAUCACUGAUUGAUCUCCCAAGGCUCUGUGGGAGGAUAGGACCCUAACUUAUACAUUGACAGUUAGCAAACACAGAUGGCCUAAUCACAUUACCAAUCUCUUCUCAGUGUCCUCCAGUACUUUUCCACAAGCUCAUUCACUGCUUAAAACUCUCCUGCCUUUGGAGCAACUGGGUGGCUCAGUCAUUUAAGUGUAUGACUUCAGGUCAUGAUCUCACAAUUCGUGGGUUUGAGCUCUGCAUUGGGCUCCACGCUGACAGUGUGGAACCUGCUU